rnacentral:rRNA from 1 species
UACAGAGGGGGCAAGCGUUGUUCGGAAUUACUGGGCGUAAAGGGCGCGUAGGCGGCCUGCUAAGUCGAACGUGAAAUCCCCGGGCUCAACCCGGGAACUGCGUCCGAUACUGGCAGGCUUGAAUCCGGGAGAGGGAUGUGGAAUUCCAGGUGUAGCGGUGAAAUGCGUAGAUAUCGAGAGGAACACCUGCGGCGAAGGCGGGUUGCUGGGCUGACACUGACGCUCAUGCACGAAAGCGUGGGGAGCAAACAGG